UUUCGCAAUGCCCGAAAGGGUGACGAAGCGACGCCGCGUGCGGGAAGAAGGCCUUCGGGUUGUAAACCGCUGUCGGGAGUUAAGAAAUGUAGGGAUGUUAAUAGCAUCCUUGCUUGACUAAGGCUCCGGAGGAAGCCACGACUAACUCUGUGCCAGCAGCCGCGGUAAUACAGAGGCGGCAAGCGUUGUUCGGAAUUAUUGGGCGUAAAGAGCACGUAGGCGGCUAUGUAAGUCGGUUGUGAAAGCCUUCCGCUCAACGGGAGAACAGCAUCCGAUACUGCAUGGCUUGAGUGCGGGAGGGGAGAGUGGAACUUCUGGUGGAGCGGUGAAAUGCGUAGAUAUCAGAAGGAACGCCGGCGGCGAAAGCGGCUCUCUGGCCCAUAACUGACGCUGAGUGUGCGAAAGCUAGGGGAGCAAACGGGAUUAGAUACCCCGGUAGUCCUAGCCGUAAACGAUGGGCACUAAGUAGAGGGGUUUUA
rnacentral:rRNA from 1 species